AACGAACGCUGGCGGCAGGCCUAACACAUGCAAGUCGAACGCAUCGCAAGAUGAGUGGCGCACGGGUGAGUAACACGUGGGAAUGUGCCCUUUGGUUCGGAAUAACGUCUGGAAACGGACGCUAAUACCGGAUGUCCCCUGCGGGGGAAAGAUUUAUCGCCAAAGGAGCAGCCCGCGUCUGAUUAGGUAGUUGGUGGGGUAAAGGCCUACCAAGCCGACGAUCAGUAGCUGGUCUGAGAGGAUGAUCAGCCACACUGGGACUGAGACACGGCCCAGACUCCUACGGGAGGCAGCAGUGGGGAAUAUUGGACAAUGGGCGCAAGCCUGAUCCAGCCAUGCCGCGUGAGUGAUGAAGGCCUUCGGGUUGUAAAGCUCUUUCGCACACGACGAUGAUGACGGUAGUGUGAGAAGAAGCCCCGGCUAACUUCGUGCCAGCAGCCGCCGUAAAAC
rnacentral:rRNA from 1 species